AUGAGGAAAGAGUUAUUUAUUGAACUAAGUAUUAGCAGUGUGAGGACAGAUAACCUUUUGUUUGGAAGUGGGACCACUCUCACAGUUGAACCAAACAAUCAAAACAGUUCUGUCCCAGAAGUCAUUGUGAUGAAAUCAAAGAAACUGAAAGAAGAUGGCAGCAUUGGAAAAGCAGUUUGUUUGGCAAGGAAUUUCUAUACAAAGAACAUCAGCUUGGCAAUGUCCUCUAAUGAGGUCGUAUAUGAACAGAGUACAUCCAUUUUGACAUCAGAGGGAUUGUACAAUACUAUUAAGGUGGUCAAUGUGACAAAAGACACAGAGGUGACCUGCACGGCCAAAUUCAACGGCAGCACUAUUACAGCCAACACAACAUUGCCAGAAAAGGAGGCUGAAGAACCAGUAAAAGGGAAAGUUUGCAACAACACAGACACCUCUGCACAAGAUACCAAAGUGGAGAAAGCGAACAUGCUGUCUAUGGCUGUGCUGGGUUUGAGAGUCCUGCUGGCAAAAAGUAUCGCCGUUAAUACACUCAUGAGUAUCAAGUUGUUUCUCUUCUGA